UACGGAGGAUGCAAGCGUUAUCCGGAAUGAUUGGGCGUAAAGCGUCCGCAGGUGGCAGUUCAAGUCUGCUGUCAAAGACCGGGGCUUAACUUCGGAAAGGCAGUGGAAACUGAACAGCUAGAGUAUGGUAUGGGCAGAGGGAAUUCCUGGUGUAGCGGUGAAAUGCGUAGAGAUCAGGAAGAACAUCGGUGGCGAAGGCGCUCUGCUGGACCAUAACUGACACUCAGGGACGAAAGCUAGGGGAGCGAAUGGG
rnacentral:rRNA from 1 species